CCAGUAGCGGCGAGUGAAGCGGCAAGAGCUCAGAUUUGAAAUCGUGUUUCGGCACGAGUUGUAGAGUGUAGGCGGGAGUGUCUGCGGCGGGCAGUGUCCAAGUCCCUUGGAACAGGGCGCCACUGAGGGUGAGAGCCCCGUGGGAUGCUGCGCAAAGCUUUGAGACCCUGCUGACGAGUCGAGUUGUUUGGGAAUGCAGCUCCAAGCGGGUGGUAAAUUCCAUCUAAGGCUAAAUACUGGCGAGAGACCGAUAGCGAACAAGUACUGUGAAGGAAAGAUGAAAAGCACUUUGAAAAGAGAGUGAAACAGCACGUGAAAUUGUUGAAAGGGAAGGGUAUUGGGCCCGACAUGGGGAGUGCGCACCGUUGCCUCUUGUAGGCGGCGCUCUGGGCGCUCUCUGGGCCAGCAUCGGUUCUUGCUGCAGGAGAAGGGGUGCCGGAACGUGGCUCUUCGGAGUGUUACAGCCGGGGCCAGAUGCUGCGUGCGGGGACCGAGGGCUGCGACAUAUGUCUCGGAUGCUGGCACAACGGCGCAAUACCGCCCGUCUUGAAACAUGGACCAAGGAGUCUAACGUCUAUGCGAGUGUUUGGGUGUGAAACCCGUACGCGUAAUGAAAGUGAACGUAGGUCGGACCCUUUGGGGGCACGAUCGACCGAUCCUGAUGUUUAUCGGAUGGAUUUGAGUAAGAGCAUAGCUGUUGGGACCCGAAAGAUGGUGAACUAUGCCUGAAUAGGGUGAAGCCAGAGGAAACUCUGGUGGAGGCUCGUAGCGGUUCUGACGUGCAAAUCGAUCGUCGAAUUUGGGUAUAGGGGCGAAAGAC
rnacentral:rRNA from 1 species